rnacentral:rRNA from 1 species
AGGUCAAGAUAUUAAGAGCACAGGGUGAAUGCCUUGGCACUGAGAGCCGAUGAAGGACGUGGUAAGCUGCGAAAAGCUACGGGGAGUUGCAAGCAAACAUUGAUCCGUAGAUGUCCGAAUGGGGAAACCCGGCUAGAGUAAUGUCUAGUCACUAUGCACUGAAUACAUAGGUGUAUAGGGGGAACGUGGGGAACUGAAACAUCUAAGUACCCAUAGGAGUAGAAAGAAAAAUCGAUUUCCUAAGUAGCGGCGAGCGAACGGGAAAGAGCCCAAACCGCAUCCUUCGGGAUUCGGGGUUGUGGAUGAUCAACAACGUGAUGGAGGUAGCUUAGUAGAAGAGGUCUGGAAAGGCCCACCAUAGAGGGUGAUAGUCCCGUAAACGAAAAGCGAAGACCCACAGAUUAUUCCAGAGUACUACGAGGCACGUGAAACCUUGUAGGAAGCAGGGAGGACCAUCUCCCAAGGCUAAAUACUACUCAGUGACCGAUAGCGCAUAGUACCGUGAGGGAAAGGUGAAAAGAACCCCGGGAGGGGAGUGAAAUAGAACCUGAAACCCUGUGUUUACAAGCAGUGGAAGUUCGUUAAGGAACGACCACGUACUUUUUGUAGAACGGGCCAACGAGUUACGUUACGCAGCAAGGUUAAGGUGUUCAGCACCGGAGCCGCAGGGAAACCGAGUCUUAAUAGGGCGAAUGAGUUGUGUGGCGUAGACCCGAAACCAGGUGACCUAUCCAUGAGCAGGUUGAAGCGCAGGUAAGACUGCGUGGAGGACCGAACCCAUAUCUGUUGAAAAAGGUUGGGAUGACUUGUGGAUAGCGGAGAAAUUCCAAUCGAACCUGGAGAUAGCUGGUUCUCCCCGAAAUAGCUUUAGGGCUAGCCUUGAUAUUAGUGACGCGGAGGUAGAGCACUGAAUACUCUAGGGGCUUUCACCGGCUACCGAAAGUUAUCAAACUCCGAAUGCCGCAGUCAUAUGAUCAGGAGUCAGACUAUGGGUGAUAAGAUUCAUAGUCAAAAGGGAAACAACCCAGACCAUCAGCUAAGGUCCCAAAGUGUGGAUUAAGUGGGAAAGGAUGUGGGAUUGCACAGACAACUAGGAUGUUGGCUUAGAAGCAGCCAUUCAUUUAAAGAGUGCGUAAUAGCUCACUAGUCGAGUGAUCCUGCGCCGAAAAUUACCGGGGCUAAAAUCCACCACCGAAGCUAUGGCUUAACAGUUUACUGUUAGGGGUAGGGGAGCAUUCUGUACGGGUAGAAGCGGUAUCGCGAGGAGCCGUGGACUGUACAGAAGAGAGAAUGUUGGCAUGAGUAGCGAAAGGCGGGUGAGAAUCCCGCCGGCCGAAAACCUAAGGUUUCCUGAGGAAGGUUCGUCCGCUCAGGGUUAGUCAGGACCUAAGCCGAGGACGAAAGUCGUAGGCGAUGGACAACAGGUUAAUAUUCCUGUACCACCAAGAAUCGUUUGAGAGAGGGAAUGACACAGGAGGUUAGGCGAGCGCACUAUUGGAUGUGCGUCCAAGCAGCGAGUGAGAGAAGAUAGGCAAAUCCGUCUUCUUGUUAAUUGUGAGCUGUGAUGGGGAGUGAAAAAUAAGUAGCGAAGUCGUUGAUAUCACACUGUCGAGAAAAGUUUCUAUCGAGAUUUAAGGUGCCUGUACCGCAAACCGACACAGGUAGGUAAGUAGAGAAUACUAAGGCAAGCGAGAUAACUAUUGUUAAGGAACUCGGCAAAAUGACCCCGUAACUUCGGGAGAAGGGGUGCCUCACCAGGUUCAGAGCUAGGUGGGGCCGCAGAGAAUAGGCCCAAGCGACUGUUUACCAAAAACACAGGUCUCUGCUAAAUCGAAAGAUGACGUAUAGGGGCUGACGCCUGCCCGGUGCUGGAAGGUUAAGGGGACUAGUUAGAGCAAUCGAAGCUAUGAACCGAAGCCCCAGUAAACGGCGGCCGUAACUAUAACGGUCCUAAGGUAGCGAAAUUCCUUGUCGGGUAAGUUCCGACCCGCACGAAAGGCGUAACGAUUUGGGCACUGUCUCAACAAUGGGCUCGGUGAAAUUGUAGUACCGGUAAAGAUGCCGGUUACCCGCAGCAAGACGGAAAGACCCCGUGGAGCUUUACUGCAGCUUGGCACUGGAUUUAGGUAUAGCAUGUACAGGAUAGGUGGGAGACUGAGAAAUAUGUACGCCAGUAUGUAUGGAGUCAACGUUGGGAUACCACUCUUGCUAUAUCUGUGUCCUAACCGUGUGGUGUUAUCCACCAUCGGGACAAUGUCAGGUGGGCAGUUUGACUGGGGCGGUCGCCUCCUAAAGAGUAACGGAGGCGCUCAAAGGUUCCCUCAGUGCGGUUGGAAAUCGCGCGAAGAGUGCAAAGGCAAAAGGGAGCUUGACUGCGAGACUUACAAGUCGAGCAGGUACGAAAGUAGGACUUAGUGAUCCGGCGGUACCGUAUGGAAGGGCCGUCGCUCAACGGAUAAAAGCUACCCCGGGGAUAACAGGCUUAUCUCCCCCAAGAGUCCACAUCGACGGGGAGGUUUGGCACCUCGAUGUCGGCUCGUCUCAUCCUGGAGCUGAAGCAGGUUCCAAGGGUUGGGCUGUUCGCCCAUUAAAGAGGCACGCGAGCUGGGUUCAGAACGUCGUGAGACAGUUCGGUCCCUAUCUGCUGUGGGCGUAGGAAAUUUGAGAGGAUCUGUCCUUAGUACGAGAGGACCGGGAUGGACAUACCUCUGGUGUAUCUGUUGUUCCGCCAGGAGCACUGCAGAGUAGCUAUGUAUGGAAGGGAUAAGUGCUGAAGGCAUCUAAGCACGAAGCCUCCCUCAAGAUGAGAUUUCCCAUACCAUAAGGUAGUAAGACCCCUUGUAGACCACAAGGUUGAUAGGUCUGAGGUGUAAGCGCAGCAAUGUGUUCAGCUGACAGAUACUAAUAGGUCGAGGUCUUGACCCAAAA